rnacentral:lncRNA from 1 species
GGAGGCUCCGGCCUAUAUAUAAGUAGUGAUUUAGAAGUAGGAGUAACAUCAUUGUUCGUCUUCGCGAAGAGGCGAAGAGCCAAGCGCAAACCGAACGUGGCAGUUGCAAACGCUCGCGUGGUGCGGUUCCUUGGAGUACUAGCCAGGCUCUUGCAUGAGACAAAAUUGCUAUUGUUUAACAAUUGAACUCCAUUAUCCUUUAGUUGAUACUCAUUCUGCAUAGGUCCACGCGCUUAGCACCGUUUCCUCCUGGGGUCACCAAUGUUUAUUUGCUAAUUAAUAGCACUCCAUGCAAUGAACUAGCCAUUGCAAGUCAUUAAAAGCAUGCACACCUCUCAUCCCUUAUUGGUUGAUACGUAUGUCAAGAAACAAGAAACAAGGUAGAAGUUAAUGCACCGCGCCUAAGUGUUUUGGGACUAUUUGGUUUUCGUAAGAUGACUUACACACCUAGACGGAGGGAGUAUUAUAGACCUGUAAACCGGAAAGGAGUAUUUGCCUUUCUAGAGAUUUCAACAAGUGGCUAGACUACACCGUGUGCAGUACCCCCUCCCUUCCGGUUUAUAGGGCUAAAAUCUCAAAUCUCAUGAACCAAGGCAUUUUGCGAUUGGAGGAAUGUAUCUCGUACUUUACAAAACUACCCUAAUUAAACUCAUGCAUUAAUUGCAUAGUUCUCUCAUUUUCCUCUCCGCCUUGGUCGCGGUGCACAAUAUUGAGCACUCCUAUAUGACUAGCCGCUCUAUCUACAUGCGGGACAUUUCAAAGCAUCCGGGCCCACGUGCCAUCCACCAAAUCACAGUGAGGUGCUACAGUCGAGACUCACCUGUCACCCCGGUGUGGCCGUCAUGACCCAUCAUAUCACAAAACCCACACCUUUACCAGCAGUGGUAAGGUGGCCUCCAAGUUGGACUGGACGAAGCAACCAUCAUUUCAUUGGAAUGCUCGUUCAAGCCCUUUCUUCCCUUUCUUGAAGAAAACCUCACUCCAGGCUACUCACUUCUGCCAUUUUUCUUCUCUACCGACGAAGGAAAGGUGGGUGAAUCAGUUAUGCUGCUAUAUUUUCAUUCCAAUAAUCUUCUUUUUGCGAAGCACCGACCGAUUCUCACAUCCUAUUCUUUUCCCAUUUUCAUUGUGAUUGUGGUUUCCUUUCGAUUGCUUUUUGUUUGUCAGUUCAUUGAUGGAUCCUGGAGCACUAGGCAAAGAGUUGCCGGCGGACAACCCACUGGAGACAGCGAUCUCCAGGAAGCGAGCACCGACCAACAAGUUGACCAUGUUGGUGGGCCAACCCAUGAAGACAAAGAACUCCAAGAAACAAGCACUGGCCAAAGAGUUGAGGACGUUGGCGGACGAACUCCUCAAAGAAAGUUGGAAGAAUAGCAAGGGACCCACCGUGCCUACCCCAGGAACUCUGAUUGCCACCUAUGUGAGGCUCGAGACCGAGUUUGAGGAGAUAGUCGCCGUUGAGAAGCAGUAUUCCCCUGGCAAGGUGAUGGCCCCCAUCGAGGACGAGGAGAUGGCACCCGGAGGGAUGAGAUCCCCCGGUGAGCUGCACAAGGUAAAAAAUAAUGGCUUAUUACCAUAGUUGUGGGUUUUGAUUAUUUGCAAUGUGCUUGCUUUUUGAUUAUUUGCAAUGUGCUUGCUAAUAUGUUAGGGUUGUGCAGGUGCCGGUGGUUGUCCUUAAUGAUUCCGAUGUCGUGGCCCGUCCUAUUGGCAUCUCCCCGGAGAUCGAUUCCGAUGCCGCUGUCCAUCCUGUGGACAUCGCCCCAGAGAUCGAUUCCGAUGUCGCGGUCAGUCCUGUGGACAUCGCCCCAGAAAUCGAUUCCCAUGCCGCUGUCCGUGUUGUGGUCAUUUCCCGAGAGAUCGAUGACAAGAAUAGUUGGUCAUGCUAAUCCUUCAGGGUAGUUUGCAUUGCCCUGUGUUUAAUUACCAGAAUGAUGCGUGUUAUCAAACCAUCUUAGGGCUAGUGCACUGUCUUGUGUGGGCGGAUCUUGCUACUUUUGUUUGAUAGUGAAUCAUGCGAUGAAUCAUGCGAACCCUCUCCAAGUUAUGGAAACAGAUGUAUCAUCACCAGAUUUUGAUGUAAUAUAUGGCAUGCUUAGAUGUAAUUUUGAACUGUUUAUCAUAUCAGCAGGGCUUGUUUGAUGAUUUUUGGUGUUAGUAGGCUAGCUACUGUGCGAGUUAUAGUACUUGCAAAACACUCACCGAAGAGAAACAUUGGGGCUGAUGAGCUCGUGGUACACUUAUAAUUAUCCCUCGUCGAUCGACCGAUAGCCCUAGCUCCUAAAAUUGUAGGCUUAGCGAUCGAUCAGACAAUAAUCGACAUACAUUCAGGCCUCAUUUGGUUCAUAGGGUAGGAAAAUCGUAGCAAAAGUACAGAGAACAUGCAACACAAAAUCAUAGCAGUGCAGAGACGUACUCCCACCGUUCCAAAAUAGAUGACCUAGGCGGGCUAGUUUGGCCUAGUGGGUUUCACUGAUAUGACGUGGUACAGUGCCGUCUAGUCUUCGCGUGUGGUAGCAGUAUUACGGGUAUAGUAAGUUUUCUUGAAGAAGCGUAAUUCAACGAAGUCAUGAUGGUUCCUUCGUCCGAACAACUUACAGUGGGAAAGGUUGGGCCUGCGAUACGACCGGGGUAGACCAGGAUAAUUUUGUGCAUCGCAGGUGGACCAGGAUGGUCGACGUCCCACAUGUCGGCAAAUGAAAGUAUUCUUUCCGAUAUAGAGGACGAGCAACGAGUAUUCAUUGUUUAUUUUUGGUGAAAGCUAUUGUCUCCACUAUUACUCCUUGACUUUGUUAAUGCCUCUCUCUCCUCCACAUAAGCGGGCACUACUUGCUAUGCAUGCAGCGGGCAGCUGGCGUCUUGAGGGGCCAGGGCGGUGAGAGCGGGCUCUGGAAGCGGUCCGGACUCCAGCAUGGCCCACCUCACAUUAUCACCAUAUAUUUCUUGGAGUCCGUGCGCGGCGGGCCGGCGAUCUCUUCUCCCUCCCUCGUUUCUCUCUUCUCAGCCAACACCCGCCGAGCGAUUAGAUUUCGUCUAUCGACGGUUUAUUCAAUUACGGUCCCACAUGUCAGUGAAAUUGCGAGACAACGCGUGUCCCCUCUGGUGAGCGGCGUGCGAGCCAGACUGUCGGGGUUGCGACGCGUACGAGUCGUAAGUGUGCCGCCUUUUCCUUUAGAACUUGCGAAGCAUAACAUUUUCACGCGAUCGAUAGAUAGAAAUCCGAAACAAAAUGACGAGGGCGGUGCUUUCCCGCUCGUUAGGCGGGCUAGUUCGAGUGAUAUGACGUGCUACAGUGUCGUCCACUUGCUCCAUUUUUAUGUAAGCAAGAGUUUACACUCUUACGCAGGAAGAGUGCAAAACACCACGGAUCUGAUUUUGAUCGAGGGAUAACUAUUUCCUGCCAAAUAAUGGAGGAUUGUUAGCGAUUAUAGCAUGAUAGUUAGGGCAUCUCCAGUGCUGGCCCACAAAUUUACACUGGCAUCUGUCCGAGGACACUAAUGGAUGCCAUCCGAUGCUGCCCACAUACCUUUCGACAACUAUAUGAACUAACCAGACGAAAUUCGUGCAAACAAUGGAAAUUUGAAAUUAAUCGGAUGAAAUUAACCGGAUGAAAUUCAUUGCAUUUCGAAAACUUUUCCUACAAACUGGACGAAAUUCAUUACAUAUUUCACACAAACCAUACUAAACCUACUGUAAACCUAAUCUAAACGAUCGUCGGCGCCCUACCACCAUGUUCGACCAUGAACCCAAGAAAGCCGGCCAUUGCCUUUGCCUCCUCCUCAUCCGCCUCGAUAACCUCCUCCUCCGGCCGGAGCACAAGGUUAUGAAGAUUUCCGCCUCCACGUCGCCGUCAAGCGGCUAAUCGGCCGCCGAUGUUUACCCCACCAAGCUUGGCAUCGACUGAGUAGAGUAGCGGUGGCCUUCCCGGGAUCAGAGCGGCGGCGACCUACCGUGUACUACUCUUCCUCGCUGCCGGCUGCUCCUGUGCACGUGCGCCGGCUUCGUGGUCGUGGCGGCGGAGGGCGGCCCAGGGGGUGCCGGCGAUCUCCUUCGUUUGCUCCUAUGACAGUAUGUCGAAGAGAGCUUUGGAGCGUGCCCGGAGCGGAGCCGCCGAUGUCCCUCGUCUGCUCCUGCGACAGUACGUCCAAGAGAGCUUCGGAGCGCCAGGAGGCCAUGGUUGAAGUGGUGCCGACAGAAGGAAGGGACCGGAGGAGAAUAAGUGUGGAUCUUUGGCUAUGGCUGGGAGCUGGGGAUCAAGUUAAUAUAGCAGGCGAAUGGCAAUGAGCCGCGGCAGACGGAUGGACAACUGGCGCCGAAGUAGGUUCGUCGGGCGUGAAUGCGAACGCUGCUUCAGUGACUUAACUGCAGAUGCGUUUGGGUUACUAAAAUGUGGGCCCAACGGGCGUCUGGCCCACAUGUUAGUGACACACCAAUUGCACCUGCAGUUAAGUCUGGUGAAUGCGGCAUUGACAUUCUGGAGAGACGGUGACCGUUUCAGGCGGGAAGCGCGCGCUAGCGGUGGAAGGGGUUUCGGUGUGCAGUGGCACUAAGAUCGGUCGCUCAUGAUAGUACAUACUCCGUACCAUACUACCAUAAUACCCUCUCUAGCUUAGGAUGUUUUAUAGAUUGUCAUUGUGAUGGACGAUAUACAUGAGCAAGGCGGUCCGAGUAUGACCGUUGGUGUUGAGCCAGGUGAAUACAUGCUCGGCAUUCGCAUAGGCCUCCAUCAAACGUCUAAACAGUAAUGUCAGGCACCGCCGAGGCGCGUAGGUGAUGGGCUCGCCGUUUGCAUUGCGCCAUGAGAAGGACUUUGAUUUAGAGGGUGACGUGCAUGCAUUAGCAUGCUUUGACAGCGUGAGCAUGAGUGUCUAACGCGAAGUAUUUCAUUUUCAUUUGGCUGACGAGGGUGCGUUGCAGCGAUGAGUCCGUGGUUUGAUUCCCCACAUACGCAUAACUUUGGUUUUGACAGUAUUUCUUUCUCCAUUCACAGGUAGGCCUGCGUAGAUAGAUAAAGAACAUGAGCCGAUGAGGCGCAUGCAGACUGUUUGACUAGUCAACCAUACAAAUACGGAGCUAUACGCUGAGCCAGCGACCGUAUAAUAACCAUAUCUCGUAUACAAUGAUCAAAGUGAGCUAUCAAGACAAGCUCGAUGACCGCCAAUGCAUUUUACUCAGUAAUAAAUGACCAGGAUUGAAGGGGAAUCCUAUUUUGCUUCGUCUUCUGUCCUUGAGCUCUUGACAAACCAAUGCACUAUACGGUUGUCCGGCCACUCCACCCCGGAGCUCUCACCAAGUGUCGUUCAUGCCACCGCGCCGCACACUAACCGGUAAGGCAACGAUGGCAUCCCGCCGCGCCGAGUUCCUCGCCACCCACGAACGCACACAAAAUGGUAGGGAAGCGAUGGCACCCCGCCGUGCUGAGUUCAUCGCCACUCGCGACCUCACAACUAUGUGGGAGAAAUUUGAAGAUGCCAAGGCCGAAUGGGCGGUAGAGCAAGAGGCAGCCAAUGCCGCACAGAGGGAGUGAAAAGUCAGAAAGCACUCAAGAAAAGAGAGGCCCGCCGCCGCAAGAAAGAAAAGUACGCACGCGCGGCUGCGGAGAGGUCGGCAGAGAUCCAAGCAUGGUGGGGUGUCGCCGACAAAGCCGGGAAGGAGAACGACGGCGUCUGGCCAGCAUGUGAGAAGUAGUAGUACUAGUAGUUAGUGUGUGUGUCUGUGUCUGAGUACGAGCAUGUACCAGUACUACUAGUUACUACUGUAGUUUUUAGAGCAAAUUACCAGUACAUUAGCCUAGACUAAAUGGAAAAAUUCCUAUGCUAUGCAUCAAAUGGCAUCUCUUUCUCUAUAGGAAUUGAGAUGCAUGUCACCUCACUUCCUAUGAUUUUCAUAUUCCUAUCCUAUGAACGAAAGGAGGCCUCUGUUGGAGUAAAUACUGUAGCUAGCAGUUGUGACGCCCGGAUAAUUAAGCUAUAGUAAUUCCCUGCUAAUGAGGUCACGUCACCAUGAUUACUGUUGCUAAUCUCAUGAUGAUUCAAAUCUCGUUCAAAGUCAAAUUCAAAAUCAAGUCAAACUAAUAAAGUUUUCAAAAGUUAAAACUAAAAUGUUCAAGAUGGGUCAAAUAAAUCAUGUGUAAUUAUGGUGGAGAAACCACAUUUUGAUAAAAUAGUUAGAUGCUCAAAAAUAUACAAAACAAUAACAAAAACAAAUAAAUAAAUGCCUUUUUCAAUUAAUAAAAUAUUAACUAAGUUAUUUAAUUUCCCAAAACUAUUGGGGAAGUGGCAUAUUUAUUAAAACUAAAUUAGGUACAACUUUGGUAUUUUACAAAACUAUAAUAAAAUAAAAACUAAAAGAAAACAGAAAAGAAAUAAAAGGAAAAUAGAAACCAAAGAAAAGAAAGGCAAAGCCCCCCUCCCCCUGGGCCAUUCGGCCCAAAUGGGUAUCCAGGCCACGAGGAGGCCCACCCCAUGCCCCCUGUAUAACCCCUCCCGGAACCCUAGCUACCCACCCGAUCCUCCACUCCCCCCCGCACGAUCCCCUCUUCCCCACCCCACGACCCGAUGUGGANNNNNNNNNNNNNNNNNNNNNNNNNNNNNNNNNNNNNNNNNNNNNNNNNNNNNNNNNNNNNNNNNNNNNNNNNNNNNNNNNNNNNNNNNNNNNNNNNNNNNNNNNNNNNNNNNNNNNNNNNNNNNNNNNNNNNNNNNNNNNNNNNNNNNNNNNNNNNNNNNNNNNNNNNNNNNNNNNNNNNNNNNNNNNNNNNNNNNNNNNNNNNNNNNNNNNAUCGAGGCCUCGCCUCCUCCAGGAGCCCCUCACAGUCUGCACCGCAUCUGCCGCCGCCCCGUCGCCUUCGACUCCUCCCCGCCGGACUGCCUCCCUGUCACCGCGUCGCCAGAUCUCGCGUCCCCGUCCUCCUCCACAACAACGUCCACAAGCCACGCCGACCCCCCUUCUCAACAACGCUGUGAGCCACCCCGUUUCCCUCCACUUUCCCCGCGUUCACCGCGUCGCUCGCCGUACCCCUGCACCGCACGCACGGCCAGCUGCUGCUGCUGCUGCGACCCACCGGCGCUCGCUCGAGUGCCCGCCUCACUGCGGCCCCCGCCCGACCUCCUCGCCCGACCGCCGUGGCCACGUUCCGGCACGCCCUGCCGCACCACCACCUCCCCUCGCCGGCGCUCGCUGCCGCGGCUGCGCCCGCAGCUCCUACGGUGCUCAUGUGCAAGCAUGCGCCUCGCCCCUGGCCUGUGCCUCUGACCAUAGGCCCCCCUGGAAAAGAACGUAAAGAAAAGAGAAUAAUAGAUAAAAACAAUAAUUUAAUUUAUUAAUCAAAUAGUUAAUUAACUUAAUUAGCUAAUUAACUUCUAAUUAGCCUAAUGUGAGAAUGACAGUAGGCCCCACUACUUAAUUAGAUUAAUUAAAACGUUAACAAAACUCUGGUCCUACAAUGGGGUCCCACUGGUCCCAUUGACCAGUCAAAUGCUGACUGGGAUUGCCCCAGUCAAUGACAGGUGGGCCCCUGUUGACCAAGAUGACUAGUCAACUGGUCAACAUUUGACAUGCUGACUCAGCCCAUGACCCCACUGUUAGCCUCACAUUUUGCUGCGUACACUUUUUGUGUGCAGUUAGCAUUUAGCUAUUUAAUUUUCGAAUUAAUAUUAAUUCCAGAAGUAUAGAAAAGGUAUACAACUUCUAAAAUUAAUAUAAAAUAAACCGUAGAUUGGAUGGAAAAACUUUGUACAUGAAAGUUGCUCAGAACGACGAGACGAAUCCGGAUACGCAGCCCGUUCGUCCGACACACAUCUCUAGCAUAGCAAACACACAACUUUCCCCCUCUGGUUCAUCUGUCCGAAAAGGCGAAACACCGGGAAUACUUUCCCGGAUGUUUUCCCCCUUCGUUGGUAUCACCUACUACCGCGUUAGGGCACACCUAACCCCGCUCAUUGUCAUGUCAUGCAUCGUCAUGCUAGUGUUUGCAUGGUAUUUACUGUUUCUUCCCCCUCUUCUCUCCGGUAGACUACGAGACCGACGCUGCUGCUGCCCAGUUCGACUACAGAGUUGACGACCCCUCCUUCUUGCCAGAGCAACCAGGCAAGCCCCCCCACCUUGAUCACCAGAUAUCGCCUAUUCUCCUCUAUACUGCUUGCAUUAGAGUAGUGUAGCAUGUUACUGCUUUCGUUAAUCCUAUUCUGAUGCAUAGCCUGACAUUGUUGCUACAUCUGUUGAUACCUUACCUGCAAUCCUAAAUACUUAGUAUAGGAUGCUAGUUUAUCAUCAUUGGCCCUACAUUCUUGUCAGUCUGCCUUGCUAUACUAUUGGGUCGUGAUCACUCGGGAGGUGAUCACGGGUAUAUACUAUACAUACAUACAUACUAGACAGAUGGUGACUAAAGUCGGGUCAGCUCGAUGAGUACCCGCAAGUGAUUCUGAUGAGGGGGCUGAAAGGACAGGUGGCUCCAUCCCGGUAGAGGUGGGCCUGGGUUCCCGACGGCCCCCGACUGUUACUUUGUGGCGGAGCGACAGGGCAGGUUGAGACCACCUAGGAGACAGGUGGGCCUGGCCCUGCUCGGCGUUCGCGGAUACUUAACACGCUUAACAAGAUCUUGGUAUUUGAUAUGAGUCUGGCUACUGGCCUAUACGCACUAACCAACUACGCGGGAACAGUUAUGGGCACUUGAUGUCGUGGUAUCAGCCGAAGCCUUCUUGACGUCAGCGACGGAGUGGCGCGCGCCAGAUUGGACCACGUAAUGUGACUUCCUUUGUAAUGUAGGUUGCUAGGUCUGCUUCCGGCCGCCCUCGCAACGUGCAGGUGUGCAAUGGGCGAUGGGCCUAGACCCCUGCGCGCAUAGGAUUUAGACCGGCGGGAUGACCUCUCUGUUGUGCCUAGGUGGGGCUGCGACGUGUUGAUUUUCCGAGGCCGAGCAUGACCCAGUAAAGUGUGUCCGGCCAAAUGGGAUCGAGCGUGUUGGGUUAUGUGGUGCACCCCUGCAGGGAAGUUAAUCUAUUCGAAUAGCCGUGAUCUUCGGUAACAGGACGACUUGGAGUUGUACCUUGACCUUAUGACAACUAGAACCGGAUACUUGAUAAAACACACCCUUCCAAGUGCCAGAUACAACCCGGUGAUCGCUCUCUAACAGGGCGACGAGGACAGGAUCGCCGGGUAGGAUUAUGCUAUGCGAUGCUACUUGGAGGACUUCAGUCUACUCUCUUCUUCAUGCUGCAAGACGGAGGCUGCCAGAAGCGUAGUCUUCGACAGGAUUAGUUAUCCCCCUCUUAUUCUGGCAUUCUGCAGUUCAGUCCACUGAUAUGACCCUUUACACAUAUACCCAUGCAUAUGUAGUGUAGUUCCUUGCUUGCUAGUACUUUGGAUGAGUACUCACGGUUGCUUUCUCCCCCCUUCCCCCCUUUCCUUUCUUUCUGGUUGUCGCAACCAAAUGCUGGAGUCCAGGAGCCAGACGCCACCAUCGACGAUGACUCUUACUACACCGGAGGUGCCUACUACUACGUGCAGCCCGCUGAUGACGACCAGGAGUAGUUUAGGAGGAUCCCAGGCAGGAGGCAUGCGCCUCUUUCGAUCUGUAUCCCAGUUUGUGCUAGCCUUCUUAAGGAAAACUUGUUUAACUUAUGUCUGUACUCAGAUAUUGUUGCUUCCGCUGGCUCGUCUAUGAUCGAGCACUUGUAUUCGAGCCCUCGAGGCCCCUGGCUUGUAUUAUGAUGCUUGUAUGACUUAUUUAUGUUUUAGAGUUGUGUUGUGAUAUCUUCGCGUGAGUCCCUGAUAUUGAUCGUACACGUUUGCAUGCAUGAUUAGUGUACGAUUGAAUCGGGGGCGUCACAGCAGUACUGCUGGUACAGUAGUUUUCUUCAAGAAGCGGAAUUCAACGAAGUCAUGAUGGUUCCUUCGUCCGAGCAACUUCAAAGUGGGAAGUGGGCCUGUGAUUUGACGGCUCAUUAGUCAUUGUUACUGCGGUGCGACGACCUGGGUGACUCUCCCUUGGAGUUCUGCAUGCAUGGCAAGUGGACCAGGAUGGUUGACGUCCCACAUGUUGGGGAACGGAAGUAUUCUUUCCGAUAUUGAGGAGCAAGGAAACCGCGUGGUAUAGUAUCACUACUGAUUGGUUCGCAAAAAAAAUAGUAUCACUGCCGAUAUAUAAUUAUGUUUUAUUUCUGAUGAAUGCUAGCGUUUCAACUCUUACGACGAAGGGUGCCAAACACGGCACGUGCUGGAUGUCCCACACGUCAGCGAAAGGAGUGGGACAUGAACAGUGUGGUAGAGCCCAGCGUAAAAAACAGCAUGGUAGAGCGUCUCCACUUCUCCCACUUCUGGGUCAGAAACCACACGUAGUAGUACUUAGUGGUAUGAACGAUACAAUGUGCGACCUGAAGAGAAAGACACGUCUAGUUGGAUGGUCUCGGGGCAUACACGUAAACAAAUAUAGAAGUUAAUAUGUGCCUCCAACUAAUAUAGUAGUAGUAGAGUACUUAGGCACGUACUCCAUAACAUCACCGAGCAUUGCACGUACAACAUUUAGUGGUAGUAUGUAGUAAGAGACAAAUGCCGCCUAAGAGUUCCCUUCUCGACCUACUUUUGGGUGUUUGGUAGAGUGUAUGGAGGGUGCAUGAGUCCACACUAGUGUAGCACAAAUACACUAGAAGCAUGCAUGAAGAGAGCAUGCAUGAAGAGGGGUGUUGAGUUGAGCAUGCAUGAAGAGGGAACAACUAUGCUGAGACAAGAACGCAACCAAACACACCAUGUAUGCCACGCAUGUUCAUACCAUUUGUGCCUUUCUACUUCACUUACUGCGCUACAUUACUCAGGUUCGUACGUCCACUCCUGGGUACAUGUCCGUCUCGUAGUUCCAGUGCCACUUGUUCUUCAUAUAGAUGGAACGAUCAUUGCAUAACACGUGCGCCUUGAUGCUAGAUGGCUCGCGUGUUGGCAAAAGGAUGAACAAAGCUCACGUAAAAAAAUAGAGUGGAAGAACAUAGAUUCCGGACGACCGAGAAAGAGCAAGGAACCUCGUGGUGGAGCGUCUGCACUCAUAAUAUUUAAUAUUAUUCAGCGAUAUAAAAUUAACCAAUCAUCUCCACAGUGGACUGGAAGAGUAUGAAACACGGCAGCCUAGUGUAGUUACAUCAUACUAGUACAUGGCUAACCCACGCUAUCACCAUAUUUCAUGGCUUCCGUGCGACACCUAUCUCUAGUAAUCCAGCAGCCUAUAUCGCUUCUCCCUCCUCGUCUCUAUCAAAGUGCGGCGGGCUGGCGUUUCUGCCGUCUAUUGAGGUCGGUUAACUAUCACAUGUUAGCGACAUGCCAAGAGCAUUCUAAAAAAAAUUCCUUUCAUGUUCCGUUUUCAAAAAGAAAAAAAUCCUUUCACGUACAAAUUUGCAUGUAUGCUUUGAGCAACUUGCAUGUCCUAUACUGCUCCUAUUUGAUACUCUCACUUAGCUAGAGGUUAGACUAACUCAUGACUAAUCCUGAACUAACUGUAGCCAAAGAGGUGUUUGGGUGACAGGGUUAGAUUGACAAUAAAUGCACUUCAUGGAGAGAGAAAAGUGAUUUUUCAGUGGUCCCAAUGAGAACUAUCUCCAGUUAGCACCUCUUGGGUGGGAUAGUUUUUUUGGUGGGUUCGGUGCAACUUGCUCCAAUUUAAACCCUCUGUUGGAAAUAUUCCCUAGAGGCAAUAAUAAAAGGAUUAUUAUUAUAUUUCCUUGUUCAUGAUAAUUGUCUUCUAUUCAUGCUACAAUUGUAUUAUCCGGAAAUCGUAAUACACUUGUGAAUACAUAGACCACAAUACGUCCCUAAUAAGCCUCUAGUUGACUAGCUCGUUGGUCAACAGAUAGUCAUGGUUGACUAGCUCGUUGAUCACAUCAUUAGGAGAAUGAUGUGAUGGACAAGACCCAAUCCUAAGCAUAGCACAAGAUCAUGUAGUUCAUUUUGCUAGAGCUUUUCCAAUGUCAAGUAUCUUUUCCUUAGACCAUGAGAUCGUGUAACUCCCGGAUACCUUAGGAGUGCUUUGGGUGUACCAAACGUCACAAUGAAACUGGGUGACUAUAAAGGUGCACUACAGGUAUCUCCGAAAGUGUCUGUUGGGUUGACACGGAUCGAGACUGGGAUUUGUCACUCCGUAUGACGGAGAGGUAUCUCUGGGCCCACUCGGUAAUGCAUCAUCAUAAUGAGCUCAAAGCGACCAAGUGUUUGGUCACGUGAUCAUGCAUUACGGUACGAGUAAAGUGACUUGCCGGUAACGAGACUGAACAAGGUAUUGGGAUACCGACGAUCGAGUCUCGGGCAAGUAACGUACCGUUUGACAAAGGGAAUUGUAUACGGGGUUGAUUGAAUCCUCGACAUCGUAGUUCAUCCGAUGAGAUCAUCGAGGAGCAUGUGGGAGCCAACAUGGGUAUCCAGAUCCCGUUGUUGGUUAUUGACCGGAGAGCCGUCUCGGUCAUGUCUGCAUGUCUCCCGAACCCGUAGGGUCUACACACUUAAGGUUCGGUGACGCAAGGGUUAUUAGGAAGACUUGUAUGUGAUUACCGAAUGUUGUUCGGAGUCCUGGAUGAGAUCCCGGACGUCACGAGGAGUUCCGGAAUGGUCCGGAGGUGAAGAUUUAUAUAUGGGAAGUUGUCAUACGGUCACCGGAAAGUUUCGGGGGCAUAUUGGUAUUGUACCGGGGCCACCGGAGGGGUUCCGGGGGUCCACCAGGAGGGGCCACCCCUCUCGGAGGGCCUCAUGGGCUGUGGGGGGCAGGGAACCAGCCCCUGGAGGUCUGGGCGCCCCCCCCCUUGGGCCCAUGCGCCUAGAGUUGGGGGGGGGGGAACCCUAGUGGGGGUGCCCCCCUUGCUUGGGGGGCAAGCCCCCUCCCUUGGUCGCCGCCCCCCUCUAGAUCUCAUCUAGAGGGGGCCGGCCCCCUUCCCCCUUCCCCUAUAAAUAGAGGAGCGAGGGGAGGGAUGCACACAACAUCCAAGGCGCAGCCCCUCCCCUCCCCAACACCUCUCCUCCUCCGUUAAGUGCUUGGCGAAGCCCUGUCAGAGUACUGCCUCUCCACCAUCACCACGCCGUCGUGCUGCUGUUGGAGCCUUCUUCCUCAACCUCUCCUUCCCCCUUGAUGGAUCAAGAAGUAGGAGACGUCAUCCCCUCCAUACGUGUGUUGAACGCGGAGGUGCUGUCCGUUCGGCACUUGGUCAUCGGUGAUUUGGAUCACGGCGAGUACGACUCCAUCAUCCCCGUUCCCUUGAACGCUUCCCCACGCGAUCUACAAGUGGUAUGUAGAUGCAUCUCUCUCCUAUCACUCGUUGCUUAGAUGAACUCAUAGAUGGAUCUUGGUGAAACCGUAGGAAAAAUAUUAAUUUUCUGCAACGUUCCCCUAUAGUGGUAUCAGAGCUAGGUCUAUGCGUAGUUCUCUAUUGAACGAGUAGAACACAAUUUUGUUGUGGGCGUAGAUCUUGUCAACUUGCUUGCCGCUACUAGUCUUAUUUUGCUUCAGCGGUAUUGUGGAUGAAGCGGCCUGGACCGACCAUACACGUACGCUUACGUGAGACAGGUUCCACCGACUGACAUGCACUAGUUGCAUAAGGUGGCUAGCGGGUGUCUAUCUCUCCCACUUUAGUUGGAGCGGAUUCGAAGAAAAGGGUCCUUAUGAAGGGUAAAUAGAAGUUGACAAAAUCACGUUGUGGUUAUUCGUAGGUAAGAAAACGUUCUUGCUAGAACCCAAUUGCAGCCACGUAAAAGAUGCAACAACAAUUAGAGGACGUCUAACUUGUUUUUGCAGCAAUUGUCAUGUGAUGUGAUAUGGCCAGAAGUUGUGAUAAAUGAUGAAUGAUAUAUUGUGAUGUAUGAGAUCAUGUUCUUGUAAUAGGAAUCACGACUUGCAUGUCGAUGAGCAUGACAACCGGCAGGAGCCAUAGGAGUUGUCUUUAUUUUUUGUAUGACCUGCGUGUCAUUGAAGAACGCCAUGUAAAUUACUUUACUAUAUUGCUAAACGCGUUAGCCAUAGAAGUAGAAGUAGUCGUUUGCGUGACAACUUCAUGAAGACACGAUGAUGGAGAUCAUGAUGAUGGAGAUCAUGGUGUCAUGCCGGUGACGAAGAUGAUCAUGGAGCCCCGAAGAUGGAGAUCAAAGGAGCUAUAUGAUAUUGGCCAUAUCAUGUCACUAUUAUAUAAUUGCAUGUGAUGUUUAUUAUGUUUAUGCAUCUUGUUUACUUAGAACGAUGGUAGCAAAUAAGAUGAUCCCUUAUAAUAAUUUCAAGAAAGUGUUCCCCCUAACUGUGCGCCGUUGCUAAAGUUCGUCGUUUCAAAGCACCACGUGAUGAUCGGGUGUGAUGGAUCCUUAUGUUCACAUACAACAGGUGUAAGACAGUUUUACACAUGCAUAAACACUUAGGGUUAACUUGACGAGCCUAGCAUGUACAGACAUGGCCUCGGAACACAAGAGACCGAAAGGUCGAACAUGAGUCGUAUGGAAGAUACGAUCAACAUGGAGAUGUUCACCGAUGAUGACUAGUCCGUCUCAUGUGAUGAUCGGACACGGCCUAGUCGACUCGGAUCGUGUAACACUUAGAUGACUAGAGGGAUGUCUAAUCUGAGUGGGAGUUCAUUAAAUAAUUUGAUUAGAUGAACUUAAUUAUCAUGAACUUAGUCUAAAACCUUUGCAAAAUAUGUCUUGUAGAUCAAAUGGCCAACGCUCAUGUCAACAUGAACUUCAACGCGUUCCUAGAGAAAACCAAGCUGAAAGAUGAUGGCAGCAACUAUUCCGACUGGGUCCGGAACCUGAGGAUCAUCCUCAUAGCAGCCAAGAAAGAUUAUGUCCUAGAAGCACCACUAGGUGAAGCACCCAUCCCAGAGAACCAAGAUAUUAUGAAUGCUUGGCAGUCAUGUGCUGAUGAUUACUCCCUCGUUCAGUGCGGCAUGCUUUACAGCUUAGAACCGGGGCUCCAAAAGCAUUUUGAGUGACACGGAGCAUAUGAGAUGUUCGAGGAGCUGAAAAUGGUUUUUCAAGCUCAUGCCCGGGUCGAGAGAUUUGAAGUCUCCGACAAGUUCUAUAGUUGUAAGAUGGAGGAAAAUGGUUCUGUCAGUGAGCACAUACUCAAAAUGUUUGGGUUGCACAACCGCCUGUCCCAGCUGGAGAUCAACCUCCCAGAUGAGGCGGUCAUUGAGAAAAUCCUUCAGUCGCUCCCACCGAGCUACAAGAGCUUUGUGUUGAACUACAAUAUGCAGGGGAUGGUGAAGACCAUUCCUGAAGUAUUUUCAAUGCUGAAGUCAGCAGAGGUUGAAAUCAAGAAAGAACAUCAAGUGUUGAUGGUCAAUAAGACCACUAAGUUCAAAAAGGUCAAGGGUAAGAAGAACUUCAAGAAGGACGGCAAAGAUGUUGGCGCACCCGGUAAGCCAGUUACCGGGAAGAAGUCAAAGAAUGGACCCAAGCCUGAGACUGAGUGCUUUUAUUGCAAAGGGAAGGGUCACUGGAAGCGGAAGUGCCCCAAAUACUUAGCGGACAAGAAGGCCGGCAACACUAAAGGUAUAUUUGAUAUACAUGUAAUUAAUGUGUACCUUACCAGUACUCGUAGUAACUCUUGGGUAUUUGAUACCGGUGCCAUUGCUCAUAUUUGUAACUCACAGCAGGAGCUGCGGAAUAAGCGGAGACUGGCGAAGGACGAGGUGACGAUGCGCGUCGGGAAUGGUUCCAAGGUCGAUGUGAUCGCCGUCGGCACGCUACCUCUACAUUUACCUACGGGAUUAGUUUUAAACCUCAAUAAUUGUUAUUUAGUGCCAAGUUUGAGCAUGAACAUUGUAUCUGGAUCUCGUUUAAUACGACAUGGCUACUCAUUUAAAUCCGAGAAUAAUGGUUGUUCUAUUUAUAUGAGAGAUAUGUUUUAUGGUCAUGCCCCGAUGGUCAAUGGUUUAUUCUUAAUGAAUCUCGAACGUAAUGUUACACAUAUUCAUAGUGUGAAUACCAAAAGAUGUAAAGUUGAUAACGAUAGUCCCACAUACUUGUGGCACUGCAGCCUUGGUCACAUUGGUGUCAAGGGCAUGAAGAAGCUCCAUGCUGAUGGACUUUUAGAGUCUCUCGAUUAUGAAUCAUUUGACACAUGUGAACCAUGCCUCAUGGGCAAAAUGACCAAGACUCCAUUCUCCGGAACAAUGGAGCGAGCAACCAACUUAUUGGAAAUCAUACAUACUGAUGUGUGUGGUCCAAUGAGCGUUGAGGCUCGCGGAGGAUAUCGUUAUGUUCUCACUCUCACUGAUGACUUGAGUAGAUAUGGGUAUGUCUACUUGAUGAAACACAAGUCUAAGACCUUUGAAAAGUUCAAGGAAUUUCAGAAUGAAGUAGAGAAUCAACGUGACUGAAAGAGAAAAUUCUUACGAUCGGAUCGUGGAGGAGAAUAUUUGAGUCACGAAUUUGGUACGCACUUAAGGAAAUGUGGAAUCGUUUCACAACUCACGCCGCCUGGAACACCUCAGCGUAACGGUGUGUCCGAACGUCGUAAUCGCACUCUAUUGGAUAUGGUGCGAUCUAUGAUGUCUCUUACCGAUUUACCGCUAUCAUUUUGGGGAUACGCUUUAGAGACAGCUACAUUCACUUUAAAUAGGGCACCAUCUAAAUCCAUUGAGAUGACACCGUAUGAAUUAUGGUUUGGGAAGAAACCUAAGCUGUCGUUUCUAAAAGUUUGGGGAUGCGAUGCUUAUGUCAAGAAACUUCAACCUGAAAAGCUCGAACCAAGUCGGAAAAAUGUGUCUUCAUAGGAUACCCUAAGGAAACCAUUGGGUAUACCUUCUACCUUAGAUCCGAAGGCAAGAUCUUUGUUGCCAAGAAUGGAUCCUUUCUGGAAAAAGUGUUUCUCUCGAAAGGAGUAAGUGGGAGGAAAGUAGAACUCGAUGAAGUACUGCCUCUUGAAAUGGAAAGUAGUGCAGCUCAGGAAAAUGUUCCUGUGGUGCCUACACCGACUGGAGAGGAAAUUAAUGAUGAUGAUCAAGGUACUUCGGAUCAAGUUGCUACUGAACUUCGUAGGUCCACAAGGACACGUUCCACACCAGAGUGGUAUGGCAACCCUGUCCUGGAAAUCAUGUUGUUAGACAACGAUGAACCUUCGAACUAUGGAGAAGCGUUGCCGGGCCCAGAUUCCAACAAAUGGCUAGAAGCCAUGCAAUCCGAGAUAGAAUCCAUGUAUGAAAACAAAGUAUGGACUUUGACUGACUUGCCCGAUGAUCGGCGAGCGAUAGAAAACAAAUGGAUCUUUAAGAAGAAGACGGACGUGGAUGGCAAUGUCACCAUCUAUAAAGCUCGACUUGUUGCUAAGGGUUAUCGGCAAGUUCAAGGGAUUGACUAUGAUGAGACUUUUUCUCCCGUGGCGAAGCUUAAGUCCGUCCGAAUCAUGUUAGCAAUUGCCACAUACUAUGAUUAUGAGAUAUGGCAGAUGGACGUCAAAACGGCAUUCCUUAACGGCUAUCUUAAGGAAGAGUUGUAUAUGAUGCAGCCGGAAGGUUUUGUCGAUCCUAAGAAUGCUAACAAAGUAUGCAAGCUCCAGCGAUCCAUUUAUGGGCUGGUGCAAGCAUCUCGGAGUUGGAACAUUCGCUUUGAUGAGAUGAUCAAAGCAUUUGGGUUUAUGCAGACUUAUGGACAAGCCUGCGUUUACAAGAAAGUGAGUGGGAGCUCUGUAGCAUUUCUCAUAUUAUAUGUAGAUGACAUACUUUUGAUGGGAAAAGAUAUAGAAUUCUUGGACAGCAUUAAGGCCUACUUGAAUAAGUGUUUUUCAAUGAAGGACCUUGGAGAAGCUGCUUACAUAUUAGGCAUCAAAAUCUAUAGGGAUAGAUCGAGACGCCUCGUAGGUCUUUCACAAAGCACAUACCUUGAUAAGAUUUUGAAAAAGUUCAAAAUGGAUCAGUCCAAGAAAGGGUUCUUGCCUGUAUUGCAAGGUGUGAGAUUGAGCUCGGCUCAAUGCCCGACCACGGCAAAAGAUAAAGAAGAGAUGAGUGUCAUCCCCUAUGCCCCAGCCAUAGGAUCUAUUAUGUAUGCCAUACUGUGUACCAGACCUGAUGUAAACCUUGCCGUAAGUUUGGUAGGAAGGUAACAAAGUAAUCCCAGAAGGAACACUGGACAGCGGUCAAGAAUAUCCUAAAGUACCUGAAAAGGACAAAGGACAUGUUUCUCGUUUAUGGAGGUGACGAAGAGCUCGUCAUAAAGGGUUACGUCGACGCUAGCUUUGACACAGAUCUGGAUGAUUCGAAGUCACAAACCGGAUACGUGUAUAUGUUGAAUGGUGGGGCAGUAAGCCGGUGCAGCUGCAAGCAGAGCGUCGUGGCGGGAUCUACAUGUGAAGCGGAAUACAUGGCAGCCUCGGAGGCAGCGCAUGAAGCAAUUUGGGUGAAGGAGUUCAUCACCGACCUAGGAGUCAUACCCAAUGCGUCGGGGCCGAUCAAACUCUUCUGUGACAACACUAGAGCUAUUGCCCUUGCCAAGGAGCCCAUGUUUCACAAGAAGACCAGGCACAUCAAGCGUCGUUUCAACUCCAUCCAUGAAAAUGUUCAAGAUGGAGACAUAGAUAUUUGCAAAGUACAUACGGAUCUGAAUGUCGCAGAUCCGUUCACUAAACCUCUUUCGCGAGCAAAACAUGAUCAACAGCAGAACUCUAUGGGCGUUCGAUUCAUCACAAUGUAACUAGAUUAUUGACUCUAGUGCAAGUGGGAGACUAUUGGAAAUAUGCCCUAGAGGCAAUAAUAAAAGGAUUAUUAUUAUAUUUCCUUGUUCAUGGUAAUUGUCUUUUAUUCAUGCUACAAUUGUAUUAUCCGGAAAUCAUAAUACACGUGUGAAUACAUAUACCACAAUACGUCCCUAGUAAGCCUCUAGUUGACUAGCUCGUUGGUCAACAGAUAGUCAUGGUUUCCUGACUAUGGACAUUAGAUGUCGUUGACAACGGGAUCACAUCAUUAGGAGAAUGAUGUGAUGGACAAGACCCAAUCCUAAGCAUAGCACAAGAUCGUGUAGUUUGUUUUGCUAGAGCUUUUCCAAUGUCAAGUAUCUUUUCCUUAGACCAUGAGAUCAUGUAACUCCCAGAUACCAUAGGAGUGCUUUGGGUGUACCAAACGUCAGAACGUAACUGGAUGACUAUAAAGGUGCACUACAGGUAUCUCCGAAAGUGUUUGUUGGGUUGACAUGGAUCGAGACUGGGAUUUGUCACUCCGUAUGACGGAGAGGUAUCUCUGGGCCCACUCGGUAAUGCAUCAUCAUAAUGAGCUCAAAGUGACCAAGUGUUUGGUCACGGGAUCAUGCAUUAUGGUAUGAGUAAAGUGACUUGCCGGUAACGAGACUGAACGAGGUAUUGGGAUACUGACGAUCGAGUCUCGGGCAAGUAACGUACCAUUUGACAAAGGGAAUUGUAUACGGGGUUGAUUGAAUCCUCGACAUCGUGGUUCAUCCGAUGAGAUCAUCGAGGAGCAUGUGGGAGCCAACAUGGGUAUCCAGAUCCAGCUGUUGGUUAUUGGCCGGAGAGCCGUCUCGGUCAUGUCUACAUGUCUCCCGAACCCGUAGGGUCUACACACUUAAGGUUCGAUGACGCCAGGGUUAUUAGGAAGACUUGUAUGUGAUUACCGAAUGUUGUUCGGAGUCCCGGAUGAGAUCCCGGACAUCACGAGGAGUUCCAAAAUGGUCCGGAGGUGAAGAUUUAUAUAUGGAAACUUGUCAUACGGUCACCGGAAAGUUUCGGGGGCAUAUCGGUAUUGUACCGGGUCCACCGGAGCUGUUCCGGGGGUCCACCGGGAGGGGCCACCCCUCUCGGAGGGCCUCAUGGGCCGUGGGGGGCAGGGAACCAGCCCCUGGAGGGCUGGGCGCCCCCCCCCNNNNNNNNNNNNNNNNNNNNNNNNNNNNNNNNNNNNNNNNNNNNNNNNNNNNNNNNNNNNNNNNNNNNNNNNNNNNNNNNNNNNNNNNNNNNNNNNNNNNNNNNNNNNNNNNNNNNNNNNNNNNNNNNNNNNNNNNNNNNNNNNNNNNNNNNNNNNNNNNNNNNNNNNNNNNNNNNNNNNNNNNNNNNNNNNNNNNNNNNNNNNNNNNNNNNNNNNNNNNNNNNNNNNNNNNNNNNNNNNNNNNNNNNNNNNNNCCCCUUCCCCCUUCCCCUAUAAAUAGAGGGGUGAGGGAAGGGCUGCACACAACAUCCAAGGCGCAACCCCUCCCCUCCCCAACACCUCUCCUCCUUCGUUAAGUGCUUGGCGAAGCCCUGUCGGAGUACUGCCUCUCCACCAUCACCACGCCGUCGUGCUGCUGCUGGAGCCUUCUUCCUCAACCUCUCCUUCCCCCUUGCUGGAUCAAGAAGUAGGAGACGUCAUCCGCUCUGUACGUGUGUUGAACGCGGAGGUGCUGUCCGUUUGGCACUUGGUAAUCGGUGAUUUGGAUCACGGCGAGUACGACUCCAUCAUCCCCGUUCCCUUGAACGCUUCCGCACGCGAUCUACAAGUGGUAUGUAGAUGCAUCUCUCUCCUAUCACUCGUUUCUUAGAUGAACUCAUAGAUGGAUCUUGGUGAAACCGUAGGAAAAAUAUUAAUUUUCUACAAUGUUCCCCAACACCCUCAUGCUUGGAUACUUUAGGGCUAUUUGAGCCCCAACUAGCUCAAACUAACUCUAACCCAUGGAUCCAAACAGGGCCUAUGGAUAGUCUCGACGCGGAGCAGUCGCGUGCACUGGGAAGCGGCGCUCUCUCGGCCGUCGCGCCACUUCAAAACCGGCGCCAGUGAGAGGUCACCUCUGCUCUGGCCGGGCAUUAAUGCGGCACUGACCCUCCAGGGUGACGCUGACCGUUUCACGCGGGAAGUGCACGCUGGCAAGGGAGUAUAGGUUUUGAACCAUUUCAAGUGUAGUAGUAAUGGUAGUUUGCAAAACUACUCAAUUAUUGCACUCAGUUUCCUAAGAAAUUGUGGUAAAAAACGUUACUCCAUAGCCCGCUUCCCUUCUCCUUCCUGCUCAUGAUUUACGUGGCCAUGUUAACGUGGUUGUGUCAAAAAAAUGUCACUUCCUGCUCGUGAUUUGCGUUAUAUAAUUACAAGCAAGAUUCUUGUGCAUUGCACGGAACAUCAAUAUGCAUUUUUACAAAACACCUGUUGUGAUUGACCCAUGCAAGAGUAAUCCCAUGUGUAAAAACUAAUGAUAUCUCGAGAAUUUUAUCGGAAAACUCGUAUCUCGAGAAUGUCAUCGAAAAAAUGAAAGAUUGGAGAUAAGGCGAGGAGGAGCGGAGCGUGGUGGUGACUGGUGGUCGGAAUGGGCGGAGGCAUGGGGAUGGACGGCGCCGGCAGGCGGCAGCGGCCACCAUGCAUGCUAGAUUGUUCCAGAGACUUAUUCCUUUUUUAAUUGCUGAGCAAUGAGGUUGUGGGAGAUAAUGAUGUGGAGAGAGGUGCGGGUAUCUUUUGUAAAAUUAUCAUAGUUUGCUUCCUAUCCGUCAGAUAUAGAUCAUACGGUCUGUAUUACAAGAUGGCAGGCACACCAUCAUCACCAACUCGUUUUUUUAUAAGGGUACAGAUGAUAAUUUUGCUGACUACUAAAGUAAAGUGGAAUCUGUCCAUGUUAUGCAAGUAAAUAAAGGUGAUUGUUUAUCAUACGGGUAAGGUUGGAUGAAGGGUGGUAGGAACAAAUGCUCCACCUAGAGCAUGUGUGUGUGAGAUGGAGUCUUAGUCUGUGUGUGUGUGGUUUGUGUGUGUGUGUGUGUGUGAGAGAGAGAGAGAGAGAGAGGAGAGAGAAAGANNNNNNNNNNNNNNNNNNNNNNNNNNNNNNNNNNNNNNNNNNNNNNNNNNNNNNNNNNNNNNNNNNNNNNNNNNNNNNNNNNNNNNNNNNNNNNNNNNNNNNNNNNNNNNNNNNNNNNNNNNNNNNNNNNNNNNNNNNNNNNNNNNNNNNNNNNNNNNNNNNNNNNNNNNNNNNNNNNNNNNNNNNNNNNNNNNNNNNNNNNNNNNNNNNNNNNNNNNNNNNNNNNNNNNNNNNNNNNNNNNNNNNNNNNNNNNNNNNNNNNNNNNNNNNNNNNNNNNNNNNNNNNNNNNNNNNNNNNNNNNNNNNNNNNNNNNNNNNNNNNNNNNNNNNNNNNNNNNNNNNNNNNNNNNNNNNNNNNNNNNNNNNNNNNNNNNNNNNNNNNNNNNNNNNNNNNNNNNNNNNNNNNNNNNNNNNNNNNNNNNNNNNNNNNNNNNNNNNNNNNNNNNNNNNNNNNNNNNNNNNNNNNNNNNNNNNNNNNNNNNNNNNNNNNNNNNNNNNNNNNNNNNNNNNNNNNNNNNNNNNNNNNNNNNNNNNNNNNNNNNNNNNNNNNNNNNNNNNNNNNNNNGAGGGUAAUUAACUACGUAUGGAGACAUAGAGACCUUGAACGUGCAUGUGUGAGAGGUAUACAUGUAUACGUGGGAUGUGUGUGUGCGCGCACGCGCAUGAUUGAGAUAAAAGAAAGAAGACAUAAGUCCUAAGAUCAACGACAUGGGAGAAACGGAUCGGUAUGACAAUAUGCAUGCAUGUGAGAAUGCAGGGAAGAAGGCCCGACAAUUGAGCAUGUGUUUUUGUCUUUAACAGAUAGUGGCGUGGGCUGGAGCAUGCAUCUAUGGCGAGCAGAGGGGGUGAGGCGCAACGAUUGUGCAAAAGAGAUCAACCUAUAAAUGCAUAUGUAUGGAUAGACAUAUAUAGUGUGGGUGAUAGGAAGCAAGACUCCGUGCGAGAAAGAAAUGUUGACGGAGAAACUACAGAUAGAUACAGAGAUGGAGAUGCUAGCUAGAGAGACAUCCGUUAAUUUGGGUGUCGGAGAUGACUGUCAGGUGGUUCAAAGGGUGAAGUUAUAUAUGUGCGUGAGAGGGCACUUGACUGCAUGUAGAGAGAAACAUAUGUAGUGUGCGUGAUAGGAAUCAAGAGUGAGGGCGAGAAAGAAGGUUGAUGGAGAAACAAAUAAAUAGAAAGAUAAAGAUGCUAGCUAGUGUGCGCUAGAGAUAGGAGUCGAGUGGAUCAGAAGGCUGGGUUAUGUGUGUGGGUGUGAGAGAGAUAGAGAGAGGGUGCAUGUGAGUCACAUACAAACAGAUAUCAGAGAGAAAUGAGAUCCAGAGAGACGGAGUUUUGUGUCUGCGAGAGAGAAAGAUAUUUCACAACAAGAGUGAUAGCUAGAGAGACAUAUGAGGGAACGCAAGAUAUCUCUAUGGAGAGAGGGUGUGUUUGAGCGACAUACAAGAGAACAAUGGAGAAAUAUGAGACCCUGGGAGACAGAGUUUGUGUUUGUGUGUGAGAAAGAGAUAUUGAAGAGGAAGAGUCAUAGGUUCUCAUAUCUAAGGAGCGAAAGACAUCUCUGUAUCAGGGGUGUGCGAGUGGCACACAUGGGAAUAGUUGAGAGAAAUGAGACCCCGGGAGACAAAGUUUUGUGUUUGUGUGAGAGAAAGAGAUUCCACAUGGAGAAUCAUAGCUAGAGACACAUAGCAGGGGAGCGAGAUAUACUUAGAGAGAGAUAGAGUGAUGAAAGUCGAGGGAGAGCGUACCGUCAGUGUGUUAUGAAGAUAAAAGAUCAUUGUCGACAUACAGGUAGCACGAGAGAUGCCUGAGAGACGAUGAACGCGUAUAGGUCCAGAGAGGUAGUCCUAUAUAAGCAUGAGUGAUAGGUAUAUGAGGCGAAUAUGUGGAUUAAAGGGGAUUCAAAUAUUUAAACUGGAGGUCAUGACAUCGAUAAUAUCAUAACGCAAAUUGGUGUAUCAAACAUGCAUAUUCAUUUGAAUUUGGGCACACGUGUAAUGUUAUAUAGUUUAUCAAUAGUGGUGAUCCAUAGAUUCUUCAAUUACAAACAAUGCAAGGUUUAUAUGCAAUUAAUGUCUAAACGGGAUUACACUAUAUGUUGCGUGUGUGAAACACAUUAUACAUGUUUGAGAAGUAAAAAAACCACAUGAAACACACAUUAAUUGAAGACAGUUAGCGGGAAAUGCAUACAUUGGAUUUCAACAUAAAGUGGUUUCAAAUAUUUGAAAAUCCAAAUUGAUGGAUACAACCUUAUGAAUCUGAGAUCAUGCCAUUUUUAAACCAUAUUUAUGUAUAAAUGGUGUUGUGCUUUUGAAAGUAUAUAUAAAAAAUGAUGUAUAUAGAAUGUAAUUCCAAUUGAAAAUGGAUCCCGCCCGAAAAAAUAGUAGAAUACAAAUGGGAUUCGAAUUGAGUUGGCACGGUUAACAUGCACUCUGCAAAAUUUGAAUGAAGCGGGGAAAGUCGUAGUAACCGCCCGAAACCAAAAUCUGCGAGAUGGAAAUCACUACUGCCUAUCCCUGCCACACAAAGCCUAUCUGCUGGAUUUCUAUAGGUUUCGAUAGGGGUAGGUUUGUAAUUUCACCCAAACGUGAUGUAACCGCCUCUCACCCGGAUUCAUACACGGUGGGCGCCAAAACACAGUGUGCCCUCGGCCGAAAUCGACUCCAUCCCCGAUUCAUAUUCAUACACGGUGGGCGCCAAAAACAAACUCUCGUCGGCAAAUAUUCGGUGUAUGCGAGAUUACCGUCCUAUCCCCAACCGACUAAUGUUGUUGUGAUGUAGUAGAAAUUUGAAACGGGGGCUAAGUUUGUAAAUUUCCUCGCAUUUGAGACAAGCGCGCCCUGAAUACAUGGUUCCCCCCUUCCUCUCUACCUCCCUUUUCCCCAUUCGUACUCCGUGGGCGCCAAAACACCCUCUCCACCCCACCCUCCUCCGUCCGCCGCCGUCCGUCACCCCAUCCACCGCCGUCCUCAUCCACCAUGCCGGAGCUGAUACCCCGACGCCGCCGUCCAUUACAAGAGAUCGACCUCUAUCAUCCAUGCCUUCAGACCGGGAUCCUUGCAUCCCGUCCUCUCGCUUCAUCCCCGCCGUCGUCCACCUUGUCGGCGCCGCUCCUACGACCGCCUCGUCCACCGCGCCCCGCCGCCACCGUCUACCCUCCUAGAUCUGCUUCCACGCUGCCGACAGCCAUCGCUACCGCAGCACCAUCAAAUUCUCAGUAGAUGCGUACACGGUGCCGCACCAGAGGCGGUACUCUUUCGUAUAUGCUCAACUUAUUUAUUGCAGCAAGAAAAUAGAUCGCCAGUGCUUUACUCUGAUUUCUUGUCUUGGUUGCGAAGUUGCCUUUGUCCGGUUUGCACCUUUAGAUCCGCCAUGGCAUGCUCAACACUAUACUCCCAAUGCUUAUGGUUUUCCCCUUUUAUAUUCCACACUAGUUAAAUCACAGUAGACUAAAUUUCAAAAUUGGGUCAGUCGAUUUUUCAGAGCUCGUUGGAGUUCGCCGGUGCGAUCCAAGGGGCUCGGGUGGUUGUGGGGCCUUGCUGAACGAAGAAAACUCGAUGCGGGUGGGGGGUGGGGGUGGCGGAGGAACACAGGCGGUGGGGGCCGGUGGUCCGGCCGGCGGCCCGUGCGGUGUUCUGUAUGGGAAGAAUCAGAGACGAGGAAGAAGAAGGGUUAGGAGACCUAGGAUCUUCAUCCAACCGCCUGAAAUGGUCGAGAGACAGCUGGGAGUUGCAUUCUUAAUGCGCUCUGGUUCAUCAUGUGUGGGCAAUGCGCAACCAACAUUUUAUUAUCCAAAAUCUGCUUGCUCUUCUUUACCAUGUUCGAUAGUGCUGGCCUGUACGUGAUCGAUAGGCUUUCAAUUACUAGCGGUAAUACAACACCGUAUUUUCAAGCCAGUUCCACUUUCCCGAUUUAUAUAUCAUGGUUAUGGUGUAUCCCUGUUAUUUACACUAUGAUCUGCCUAGUUGUUGUGUGCUCUUGUUAUCAUGGUUUGGCAAUAAACUCUCUAUACAGUAUAUUAUGAACCUAUCAUCUGCCAGCUAUCCUUACUUCUGGAGCCUAUUUUUUUGUGUACUUGUGCCAGAUUAUAUAAAUGCACGCACGAUAUUACAGCACACAUGAGCUCUCUCAUCAGAAUCCAGUGAUAGCACAUAAGUGUUUACAGGGGCGCCCCUAUAAUAGAAUAUCAUCUGCAUUACAAAGAUAAUCUCACAACUAUUUAUGUUUUGAUGGUUCUAAGAUAUUAUACGCAAUUACAGUGAAUAUCAGAAUCUGCGCAUCAGAAGAAUAUUGUGGAACACUGCAAUGACUUACAAAAUUGGCACCAAGGCAUUGAGUGCCAUUCUGGAAGCAAUGAAACUCGUACGCUCCCCACCUGUUGAUUCUUGUUCAGAAUAUCAUCCUAAUGACUAUUCUAACCUCGAGGAGUCAAAGGCAGAUGGCCUGUCCUGUUCACCCAUCAAGGUGCCUAUUCUAAUUUGGCAAGGUUUUAUUGAUUGCGUGUAUCUUGCAUAUGUUGUCUUGCAUUUCUUCUACUUUGUUGCACCACCAUCUGUUUAGUUUACUCAUCAUAUAACUCGAGAUGCCAUGCCCAUCCAUUAUCAAUACAUAUUCCAUCUGUCGUCAUACCAUGUUUUUUCACUCAAAUAUUGUUCUUGUGCAUCAGACAUCAAAAAGGAAGAGGGUGAUUGCCGAACCUGAAGGAGCACCAGCAAAGUCCUUGAAAAAUGUGGUGAUGCCGAAGAAAUCAGACAGCGCCCCACUUAUAUUGGUUGUACAACCAGUGACACAAAACAUAGGACCGACUCCAGCAGACUGUACCCAUACUUCACUGGCCACACCACUAGCCCCACCACACAGGACCUGCACUCCAGCAAAAGGUAUAUCGAUUUCAUUUGCCAUAGCACCAGCCGUACCACAGAAAAAUCCCACUCCAGCAAAAAGUACAGCAAGUCCACCGGCCGAAGACCUCUCCCAACUGCAGAGACGGCAAAUUCCUGCAGAUUGGAACCCCAUUCCAUUUAUUCCCAGUUUAAAAGACAAUGCUUUCAAUGUUGUUAGGGACUACGUGCAUAUAUUCCCAUCAUGGGAAGAUUAUAGUGAAGACAAACACCAUUUUCACAUCUUCCUGUCCAACUUACGUGUAAGUGCUAUUAUUCAUGGUUAUUAUUUUCCUGUUUUCUACUGAUCGAACACAUCAAUGAUUUACAUUACAUUGUUGUAACUAGGUGAGGGUCAAUCUGGAUAGUCAUGACGAGCAAAGCUUGCUUGUGCUUUUCAUGGAAGCAUUGCAGCAGUAUCGGUGUUACCUGAGGAAAUCACACUUUGAUGGCAAGUAUAUAAACGAAUUUGCGAUGAAGUCUCCUGUGCUAAAUUUAUAAGAAAUUGAAUGGAAAAACCUUGUUAUGCACUGGUCUCGUUCCCAGGAUGAGGUACUGUCUAUGAAAUCACAUGACAAUUUGAACUUCUACUUUUCCGCAUGUGCCUUACGGAUCUUUUUUGCAGGAAAUCAGAUCGAAGAAGAAUUCCGGUUUGAAAAGAACGACAGGAUAUCGCAAAUAUGUUGCCCGCUGCUUUGCUCUUGUUAGUACAUGUUGUCCUGUAUCACUGUACUUGCAUACAUACCUGGUUCAUUAUGUGACAGCAGUAUGCAUGAUAGCUUGCUUAUCAAUUGUUCACUCCAAAUUAUCUGAUCUGUAUGAAUGGUUACAUUAUUGUAGAAUAUAUCCAAUGCCAAUGAUUUUUUUAGCUCUGCAUUGUUCUUGUAAGUACAUGAUGUCCUUUAUCAGUGUCCUUAUAUUGACAGGUAGUUCUUCAUGUACCAUCACUCUGCAGCUUAUUUUCCUUUGCCCUCCAUUUUCUACACAUCAGAUCUAUAUUUACUCUUACCAUAAGGUUGGUACUGAAGAAGUUUAGUUAUGCAUUGCUCUUGGCUGUGCCUUUUGCCUGUAUCGCUGCACAUACAUUUAUAGCUACUAGGUUAUGUAGCAUCACUCUUUAUCUUAUCUUAAAUAUUCUCCAUUUUUUCGUAUAUUAUCACAUCUAUUUUUACUCUUAACAAAAUGUAGAAUAAAGGCAAUGCUUAUGAAGAAGAUUCUGUGCUAAAAUUCUUGAAUUGCCCCCCCCCCCAUCAGCAUGGACAAGGGCUUUAUAGAGCCUGUCUUCACCAGUAAUGUAAGUUUGACCUUCUCAAGCCUUCAAACUUUAUUGUGUAUAUUUGGUUAGGCAUGACUGCAACAGCUGUUUAUUUUUGGUGUUUGCAUCAAAUUGCAUGUUUAAAGUUUAUUAUGUAGUUCAUAAACAAAAGUUUGUCCUUCUCAAUUUAAGUUUUCAGUUGUACAACCAAGUUCCUUCUUCAUACCAUGUAAAUUAAACUAUACAGAGCAAGUGAUCUUCUUUUGCACUGCAUGUAUGCUUCUGUUCUUCAUCCGUAAUCCAAUGGUGUGGUGAACCUACCCACUACAGCACAAUGUCAUAUUCUGUAGUGUCUUAACUAUGAACAAUGUCAUAUCAUUCUACUAUUAUUUAAACCGUCUCUUUAUUUGUCAAUCUGAAAUGGGAUAAAUUGACAGCAAACCAUUGAUACUUAUGAGUUCUUGAUCUGUAAUCCAGUGGUGUCGUGAAGCUGCCAACUCCUUCACAAUGUCAUUUCCUGCCAUGUCUUGACCUGAACAAUACCAUAUUGUGUUAAUGCAAUUUUAAACUGUGUCACUUUAUUCGUCAGUAAGAAAUGUGAUGAAUUGUCAGCACUGAUACUUUUAUGUGCAAAACCUGUCAUCUGUCUUCUUGUUUAUCUUUCAGAGUGAGGAAGAUAUAAGUGUUGAACAAGCACAGUCUCAUCAUCUUGCUCAGCUGCUUGCGCUGCAGCUCCCCAGCAGGGCUAACCUUUCUUGAACUCUAUUGAAGUGUUAUCGGUUUUGUAUAUUAUUUUGUCGGCGUGUUUAUUUGCACUGGUGGCGAUCUUUGAUGCCCAGUGUAUGUAAUCUGCUGUCUGCUUGUGCUUUAUUAUCAUAGUGGUGAACUUUGAUGCCCAGUGGAUGUAAUAUGCCGUAAUUUCUUUAUUGUAUAGUAUAGGUUUUUUCUUAUUCACGAUGUUGCUGUUAUUUUACUGUAUAUAUAUCAUGUCUUCGCAGUAAACCGGCCAAACCGUAAAAUUAUGGUACAUAAUCGGGCCGUCAUGCAAUCAUGAUGUAUGAUCUGCAUCAUGGGCCCCAUCAAACUAUCCCACUAGUAGAUUCGGGCCUUUAAUAGGCCGACUAACCCCCGUCCCUCUUUUUGCAAGAAAACAUAAUGGGCUUUUACGAGGCUGAGAUGUAGGCUGGGCCUGAAACGUGCCGAAUAGCUCACGGGCCGGCGGCAGCCCGAAAUGGACCCCAGCCCAUGAUUGUGUGAAUCAAUUCACGGGCUUUUAACAGGCCAAAGUUGUCUCGGUCCUUGUUUGGCCCAAUCAGAUAUCGGCUACGAGCAGGCCGGUUGCAAAUCGGGCCGUAGUUAGGCCCAACUAUUUGACAGGCUUUUAACAGGCAGAAAUUAAUAUAGGGCCAAAAUGUUAAAUGGGCCCUUAACAGGCCGAAACUAAUAUCAGGCCAAAUUACUAAAUGGGCCUUUAGCAAGUGGGCCCAAAAGCAUAGCUUGCAGUCAAUGGGCCGAAUCUGAUAUGGGCCAUAAUUGAGCCCAAAGCCUCUUAAAGGGCCGAACCUGAUCUAGGCCGUGAUUUGGCCCAGAAAGUGGGAGGCUUUUAAAGGGCCGGAUCUUAUAUGGGCCAUUAUUAGGCCCGGAACGUGGCAGGCCAUUAAUGGACCGGAUCAAUUAUGGGCCGGCAUUUGGCCCAAAACAUGGCAGCCAGUUAAUGGGCCGGCCUACUAGGGUCCUCAAAAUCUCGUGGGCCUUUAGCUGGGCCGGCCCAUUAUGAUCCGCAAGAAUUUUGUGGGCCUUUACCUAGGCUGGCCCAUUAUGGCACACAAAAAUCUUGUGGGCCUUUACCUGGGACGGCCUAUUAUGGCCUGCGAAAUCUUGUGGGCCUUUAGCUGGGCCAGCCCAUUAUAGUCCGCAAAAUCUCGUGGGCCUUUAAUUGGGCCGGCCCAUUAUGGGCCGCAAAAUCUUGUGGGCCUUUAGUUGGGCUGGCCCAUUUAAACUUGAUUGGCCGUGCCACGUGUUGACGUAUCAUAGGCACCUUCUGUCCAACGAGUGGAUGACAUCUGUCCCAAUGAUGAGCCAACACGUGUUUCCUCCAGCCAAUGAUGAUUUUACACGUGGAAAAUCCCCAUUGGUCGGGGCUAUUCACGGGUUAUCGGAUCCAAAACCUGACCCGAUAGCUUAACGGUGUUCCGUUACGGUGGAUGCCACGUGUCGGUCACCCUUGACGAAAGCACUUCUGUGACGUGCGAUUUAUCGUCAUGGAAGUGGAUGAUGAUAAUUUUGCUAAUGUCAUGGAACACUCCUACGAUAGCACAGGUAUGACUAUCUUGAUUCUGUCAUAAAUUUGUCAUGGAUGUACAUGCAUGACAAAAAACGCAACCUACUGUGACAAACACGUAUCAUCACGGAAGUGUUUUUUUUUGUAGUGUCAGUGCCAUCAAAGACGGGGCACGCAGCAGAGACCUUGAUUAUCCCUGCAGUUGACAUAGCUAAAACUCCAGGUGGUUAAACUGAAUCACACAGAACAAGGGAGUACCUUGCUCUGAUACCAAUUGAAAGUGCUAGUUAUCGACUAGAGGGGCGGCUGAAUAGGCGAUUUUUUUGAACAUCUUCAAAACACGGUGGCUUUGAAAACAAACAAGUAAACUAAGCCUAUAUAGUAACCAGCGGAAUGAAGACUACUCUAGGAAAGCAUUAGUCAAGCAUGCAAUACAUGGAAAGCACGAAGAAUAACUGCAACUAGGUAGACAGGAUCAGUAUGGAAGAUAGUACAAAGCUAAAUAGAUACAAGUCUUCACACAAUGAAAUCAAAUGAAUCAGGCAGGCAAGCGAUGAAUUCUCGAAGACAAACUUUAAAGUAAGGAGAGUAGAGGAUAGAACCAGUUGCUUGGUGAAGACAAGGAUUUGGUAGACCAGUUCCAGUUGCUGUGACAAAUGUACGUCCGAUUAGGGAGGUUGAGAUUGAACUCAGAAGAUUGUGUCUUCACCUUAUUCCCCUUGAGCUAAGGACACCCAGUCCUCGCCCAAUAACUUUGGUAAGUCUUCGAGGUAGACUUCCAAACCUUCACAGACUUUGUUCACCAGCAAUCCACAAUGACUCUUGGAUGCUCAGAACGCGAUGCCUAAAUGGCUGGAGGAUUCACAGUCCUCAAGUGUAACAAGUCUUUAGAUCACGUGGACAGAAAUACAUCAGUGAUGCCUAACACUCUUUGGCUCUGGGUGUUUUGGGAUUUGUCCUCACAAAGAUCUCUCUCUCAAAUGCUUCGGAGGUGGGUUGCUUGUCAUGGGAACGAUUCCGACAAUAAUAUGGGACAGGGUAAAGGAGCAUGAUCUAUCAAGAUGCAAAUGGGUGACACGGUGGUUUUAGCGUGUCUGGGCCUCUCACAGUGGACAUACCAACCCUACAUCUCGUGCUCUGGAGAGGCUUUGUUUUAUCUGAGUAUGUAUCCGAAGAUUACGUGUAUGUGAGAGAGGAGAAUGGAUCCCCAUGCAUGUGCUAAGUUUGGAGACUAGAGAGGAAGAGAGAAGUAGAAGAAAAGAGCCCCCCUGUCUAGUGGUGGGGGUGGCUUAUAUAGAGUGUGCCACCCCCUCAUCUCUUAUGUUACACAGUGGUGUUAAUGCCAUAACUCAGCCUACUACUAAGAUGACGCUUUGAGUGCCUUGUGGACUGUUGGUCUUUGCAUAUCCGAGUGAGAUCAGGUACUCCGAGUGGAAUGAGUUCGUCGAGUGGAGUGCUUGCUCCGAUUGGUUGUUGUCGUCCGAGUGACUUGAUGGUCAUCCGAGUGGAUGGUUUGUUGAUUGUCCGAGUGAUGCUCUGGGCCCAUCUGAUAUGUGGACCCCGUGCUUUAUGAUCUUUGUAACUUCGUGGGCCUACCUGUUAUGUGUGUCCCCAACAUUAGCCCCCAAAUUGGUUGUGAUUUUGCAGAACGAGUUUAUGAAAGACACAAUUUGGCCCGAGUGAUUACGGAAAUACUCAGUACCCAUCAUCGUGCUUUCAGACAACCGAGGUUCAAACAAAACCUCAAUGGAUUCUGGCACUGUGCUUCCCGACUGAUCUGGGAUAAGUGCCCGCGAGGAGCAACUUGGCGACAUUCGUUCAUAGAGGUUAACUCGUUAUAUGAGUAUGGGUGUGUCAUUAAAUCUUGGCAACAAGAUUGGUGAUACAUCUCCAACGUAUCUAUAAUUUUUGAUUGCUCCAUGCUACUUUAUCUACUAUUUUGGGCAAUAUUGGGCUUUAUUUUCCACUUUUACAUUAUUUUUGGUACUAACCUAUUAACCGGAGGCCCGGCCCAGAUUUGCUGUUUUAUGCCCAUUUCAGUGUUUCGAGGAAAAGGAAUAUCAGACGGAGUCAAAACGGAACGAAAUCAACUAGAGAAGUUAUUUUUGGAAGGAAACCCACCUGAUGGACUUGGACUCCACGUCAGAAGAUACGGGAGGUGCUCACGAGGGUGGGGGCGCGCCCACCCACCCACCCCGGGCGCGCCCCCCUACCUCGUGGGGCCCCCGUAGCUCCACCGACGUGCCCCUUGCACCCAUAUAUACCUACGUACCCUAAAACUUCCAGAACAGAAGAUAGAUCGGGAGUUCCGCUACUGCAAGCCUCUGCAGCCACCAAAAACUUCUCGGGAGCCCGUUCCGGCGCCCUUCCGAAGGGGGAUCCCAUCACCGGUGGCCAUCUUCAUCAUCCCGGCGCUAUCCAUGACGAGGAGGGAGUAGUUCACCCUCGGGGCUGAGGGUAUGUACCAGUAGCUAUGUGUUUGAACUCUCUCUCAUGUUCUCUCUCAUGUUCCAUCUAUGGCACAAUCUUGAUGUAUCCCGAGCUUUGCUAUUGUAGUUGGAUCUUAUGAUGUUUCUCCCCCUCUACUCUCUUGUGAUGAAUUGAGUUUCCCCGUUGAAGUUGUCUUAUCGGAUUGAGUCUUUUAUGAGAACACUUGAUGUAUGUCUUGCCGUGAUUAUCUGUGGUGCAAUGGGAUAUCAUGUGCCACUUGAUGUAUGUUUUGGUGAUCAACUUGCGGGUUUCGUGACAUUGGGAACCUAUGCAUAGGGGUUGUCACACGUUCUUGACUCUCCGAUAGAAACUUUGGGGCACUCUUUGAAGUACUUUGUGUUGGUUGAAUGAAUCUGAGAUUGUGUGAUGCAUAUCGUAUAAUCAUGCCCACGGAUAUUUGAGGUGACAAUGGAGUAUCUAGGUGACAUUAGGGUUUUGGUUUAUUUGUGUCUGAAGGUGUUAUUCUAGUACGAACUCUUUUAUAGAUCGAUCCGAAAGAAUAACUUUGAGGUGGUUUCGUACCCUACCAUAAUCUCUACGUUUACUCUCCGCUAUUAGUGGCUUUGGAGUGACUCUUCGUUGCAUGUUGAGGGCUUGUUAUAUGAUCUAUCUAUGUUAUUAUUGUUGAGAGAACUUGCACUAGUGAAAGUAUGAACCCUAGGCCUUGUUUCCUAUCAUUGCAAUAUCAUUUACGCUAACCUUUACCUUUAGUUACCUUGCUGUUUUUAUUAUUUCAGAUUACAAAAACCUAUAUCUACUAUCUAUUUUGCACUUGUAUCACCAUCUCUUCGCUGAACUAGUGCACCUAUACAAUUUUCCAUUGUAUUGGGUGUUGGGGACACAAGAGACUCUUUGUUAUUUGGUUGCAGGGUUGUUUGAGAGAGACCAUCUUCAUCCUACGCCUCCCAUGGAUUGAUAAACCUUAGGUCAUCCACUUGAGGGAAAUUUGCUACUGUCCUACAAACCUAUGCACUUGCAGGCCCAACAACGUCUACAAGAAGAAUGUUGUGUAGUAGACAUCAAGCUCUUUUCUGGCGCCGUUGCCGGGGAGGCUAGGUAAGUCAAGGUAUAUCUUUAGAUCUUGCAAUCAAAUCUUUUUGUUUCUUGUUUUAGCACUAGUUAGUCUAUAAAAGAAAAUUACAAAAAAAUGGAAUUGAGUUUGUCUCAUACGCUUCACCUUUUUAAUAUCUUUCGUGAGUAUGAUGGAAAGGAUAAUUGUGCUAAAGUGCUAGAAGAAGAAAUGUCUAAAUUGUUUGGCACUAAAUAUUUGAAUGAUGAGCAUGACUGCAAUGUUGUUAGUAUGAAUUCUUUGAAUAUCCAUGAUGCUAAUGAUGAUUGCAUUAGUUAUGAUGAAAAUGCCUCCUAUAAGCAUGUCAAUUUUUGUGGAGUGCAUUGGGCUUGCAAGGACACACCAAAUAGGGAAGAUAGAUAUUGCAAGAGGCAUAAGUACUUAGAAACUAAAUGGUUGCAAGAAAGGCUAGAUGCAUGUGCUGAAAAUUUAUUUUUUCUUAGCCAUACUUGUGAACUUUGCAAUGAACGUGAUCAUUUUAGUACCCAAUGCAAAUUGUUUCAUGAUCGUAUCGUGUCCAAAAAUUGUGAUGACUUGAUUUCCCUUGCACAUCAUAAAGAGCUUAGUUUGCUCUUGGGUUAUGAAGAAAUAAAACGUAUAACUAAGAUUAUUCCAGAAUUUGCCCUUGAUAGAAUUCUUCAUUUUGAUCUAGAAGAAAUUUAUAUGUAUUGUGCGGUGAAUUGCAUUGAAAAUCCUUAUAUUGCCAAUUACAUAAAGAAAAGAAAACAAAUAGAGGAUGAAGAGAAUACUAAUGAAAGGGAAGAGACUUCCCAAUAUCCUCCUAUUAUUUCUUAUGGUGAAUCAGGUAACGAGGAGGAGCUUUCUAUUCAACCAAUCUCAUUAAUAAGGAGCUCAAAGAGGAAGGUUGAACCCACACAUAAUAUGAAGAAGAAAAAGAAAAGAAGGAGCAACAAAGGUAGAAAGGUAUCCCUCCCAAAUGAUGUUUCUCCUACUACUCAUUAUGAUGAUGAUAAUUGCUAUACUAUUGGUGCUAUCAAUAUUUUUAAUGAUGAGAGUGAUUAUGCUUAUGAUAUGAAAGGGCCCAAGCUUGGGGAAGCUAUGUUUGAUUGGGAUGAAAUAUUUGAGAAUAUAUUUGCUGGAAUUAAUGUUUGUCCCAAGCUUGGGGAUGCUAUGUUUAAUGAAGAUGGUAUUUUUAGCAUCCCAAGUUCUGAUAUGCAAAGUUGUUAUGAUGAUAGCAUGCCUCCUACCUAUGAUGAUUAUAUUGAUGAAUGUGGGUUCGGAAGAGUGUCAACUUUAUUUAGUGAUUCCACUAUCUUGGGAGAGGUUUCAAUUGAUUAUAAUGAGAACGAAGUUGCUACUUAUGAUGAUUAUAUUGAUGAAUGUGGGUUCGGAAAAGUGUCAACUUUAUUUAGUGAUUCCACUAUCUUGGGAGAGGUUUCAAUCGAUUAUGAUGAGAACGAAGUUGCUACUUAUGAUGAUUAUUGUGAUGAAACUUAUGCUAUAAAAAGUAGUGAUGAUUAUAUUUACAAAUCUUGUCAUGAUUAUGAUUACCCUUUGUCUGAACAUUACCAUUUUAACGUGGAAACAAUUUUUAGUGUUCAAAUCUCUUAUGAUACUCCCACUAUUAUUCAUGAGAAGAAUUUUGCUUAUGUGGAGAGUAGUAAAUUUUCUAUGCUUGUAGGUCAUGAAAAGAAUGCUUUAGGUGCUGGUUAUAUUGUUGAAUUCAUUCAUGAUGCUACUGAAAAUUAUUAUGAGGGAGGAAUAUAUGCUUGUAGGAAUUGCAAUAAUAUCAAGUUUCCUCUCUAUGUGCUUAAAUUCUUGAAGCUAAGCUUGUGUUACCUUCCUAUGCUUGUUGAUUAUUGUUCCCAUAAGUUGUUUGCUCCCAAAAUCCCUAUGCAUAGGAAGUGGAUUAGACUUAAAAGUGCUAGUCAUAUGCUUCAUGAUGCUCGCGUUAUGUUUCAAUUCUUAUCUUUUAUGUGAGCAUCAUUGUCAUCAUCAUGCCUAGCUAGAAAGGCAUUAAAGAAAAGCGCUUGUUGGGAGACAACCCAAUACUUAUCCUUACUGUUUUUGUGUGUUCACAUGAUUAUUAUACUGUAUUAAUCAUGUUUUAUAGCUUUUGUUUCAAUAAAGUGCCAAGUAAGACCUUUAGGAUAGCUUACGGUGAUAGUUGUGUUGAUCCUGCUGAAAAUCAGAAACUUUUGCACCCAGUAAAUUAGUUUUGUUAAUUCAUAGAAACGAGCUUCUGAUCUGAUUCUUUUUGUUCUGGAUUGGAACAUGAAUUUAUUAGGACUUCCUAAUUUGGUAGGAUAUUUGGAGUUCCAUAAGUAUACGUUUGAUACAGUUUACUACAGACUGUUCUGUUUUUGACAGAUUCUGUUUUCAUUGUGUUGUUUGCUUAUUUUGAUGAAUCUAUGAGUAGUAUCGGAGGGUACGAGCCUUAGAUAAGUUGUAGUACAGUAUAUAUUCCACCAAUAUGAAUUUAGAAUGAGUUCAUUACAGUACCUAAGUUGUGGUUUUAUUUUCUUAUACUAACGGAGCUUACGAGUUUUCUGUUGAGUUUUGUGUUGUGGAGUUUUCAAGUUUUGGCUAAGGAUUCGAUGGACUAUGGAAUAAGUAGUGGCAAGAGCCUAAGCUUGGGGAUACCCAAGGCACCCCAAGGUAAUAUUCAAGGACAACCAAGAGCCUAAGCUUGGGGAUGCCCCGGAAGGCAUUCCCUCUUUCGUCUUCGUUCAUUGGUAACUUUACUUGGAGCUAUAUUUUUAUUCACCACAUGAUAUGUGUUUUGCUUGGAGCAUCAUUUUAUCUUGUUAGUAUUUGUUUGCUGAUAGUUAGAAUAAUGUUUUGCAUCUUUAGUUUCAAAAAAAAAGUCAAGGAUAGCCUUUGCCAUGCUUAUUUUGCUAGUAUACAUGUUGCUGUUUGAAAAACAGAAAGUUUACCGCUGUUGCAAAAAUUCACUAGAAAAGUUAGAGAGUGGUAUGAUGUUGAAUAUUUUUGCAUAUUGAGCUCUGAUAAAUUUAUUACAGUGGGAAUUUUAGUUCAUAAUUUUUGGAGUCAGGGAAGUAUUGAUACUAUUGCAUUCUUUACAGACUAUACUGUUUUGGCAGAUUGCUGUUAUGGUUGCAUUGUUUGCAUAUGUUUGCUUGUUUAAUGAUUCUAUUUGAAGAUAGGAGUAUUAAAUAUGCAGAGGCAUUUAGUAUUUAUUGUUGAAUAAUAAUUUUAGUGAUUUGUUAUAGUAGAAAAUGAUAAGGUUUUGCAUUGGUUUAUACUAACCUAUCUCACGAGUUCUUGUUGAGUUUGUUGAAUGGAGCUUUUGAUAAAAAGAGAAACCAUGAUCUGAGAGGAAUUAAGGAGACACAAAAGCUCAAGAUUGGGGAUGCCCAAGGCACCCCAAGAUAAUAUUUCAAGAAGUCUCAAGCAUCUAAGCUUGGGGAUGCCCCGGUAGGCAUCCCACCUUUCUUCUUCAACAACUAUCGGUUAGUAUCGGUUGAACCUAAGUUUUUUGCUUCUUCACUUGAGUUGUGCUAUCCUUGCAAUGUCAUUUUCUUUAGCUUUGCUUGCUGUUUGAAUAAAGUAUCAAGAUCUGAAAUUCUUAAAUGAGAGAGAGUCUUCGCAUAGUUGCAUAAUUAUUUAGCUACUCAUUGACCUUCACUUAUAUCUUUCGGAGUAGUUUCUCAUUUGCUCUAGUGCAUCACUUAUAUCUUUUAGAGCAUGGUGGUAGUUUUGUUUUAAAGAAACUAUUGAUCUCUCAUGCUUCACUUAGAUUAUUUUGGGAGUCGUUAAUAGCAUGGCAAUUUGCUUAAUGUUAAUAUACUUGGUAUUCAAGAUAUGUGAAACUUACUUUUGAUUGAAUUGAAUACUAAGAUAAGUUUAAUGCUUGAUAAUUAUUUUGAGAUAUGGAGGUGAUAAUAUCAAAGUCGUGCUAGUUGGGUGAUUGUGAAUUUGAGAAAUGCUUGUGUUGAAGUUUGCAAGUCCCGUAGCAUGCACGUAUGGUUAAAGUUGUGUAACAAAUUUGAAACAUGAAGUGUACCUGGCUUGUGCAUCCUUAUGAGUGGCGGUCGGGGACGAGCGAUGGUAUUUUCCUACCAAUCUAUCCCCCUAGAAGCAUGUGUGUAGUACUUGAUUUUUGAUGACUUCUAAAUUUUUGCAAUAAGUAUAUGAGUUCUUUUGACUAAUGUUGAGUCCAUGGAUUAUACGCACUCUCAUCUUUCCGCCUUUGCUAGCCUCUUCGGUACCGUGCAUUGCCCUUUCUCACCUUGAGAGUUGGUGCAAACUUCGCCGGUGCAUCCAAACCCCGUGAUACGAUACGCUCUAUCACACAUAACCCUCCUUAUAUCUUCCUCAAAACAGCCACCAUACCUACCUAUCAUGGCAUUUCCAUAGCCAUUCCGAGAUAUAUUGCCAUGCAACUUCCAUCAUCAUAUUCAUGACAUACAUUACUUUUGUCAUAUUGCCAUUGCAUGAUCAUGUAGUUGACAUCGUAUUUGUGGCAAAGCCACCAUGCAUUAUUUUUCAUACAUGUCACUCUUGAUUCAUUGCACCAUCCCGGUACACCGCCGGAGGCAUUCAUAUAGAGUCAUAUCUUUUUCUAAGUUUCGAGUUGUAAUCCUUAUGUUGUAAUCAAUAGAAGUGUGAUGAUCAUCAUAAUUAGAGCAUUGCCCAAACAAAAAAAUGAGAAAGACCAAAAAAAGGCCAAACAAAAAAAAGGCCCAAAAAAAAUAAAAAGGGCAAUGCUACUAUCUAUUUUUCCACACUUGUGCUUCAAAGUAGCACCUUGUUCUUCAUGUAGUGAGUCUCAUAUAUUGUGCUUCAAAGUAACACCUUGUUCUUCAUGUAGUGAGUCUCAUAAAGUUGUCCUUUUUAUACUAGUGGGAAUUUUUCAUUAUAGAACUUGGCUUUUAUAUUCCUACGAUGGGCUUCCUCAAAUGCCCUAGGUCUUCAUGAGCAAGCGAGUUGGAUGCACACCCACUAGUUUUCUUUUGUUGAGCAUUCAUAGCUCUAGUGCAUCCGUUGCAUGGCAAUCCCUACUCCUCAUGUUGACAUCAAUUGAUGGGCAUCUCCAUAGCCCGUUGAUUAUCCUCAUCAAUGUGAGACUUUCUCCUUCUUUGUCUUCUCCACACAAUCCCCAUCAUCAUAUUCUAUUCCACCCAUAGUGCUAUAUCCAUGGCUCGCGCUCAUGUAUUGCGUGAAGGUUGAAAAAGGUUGAGAUUAUUUGAGUAUGAAACAAUUGCUUGGCUUGUCAUCGUGGGUAUAGAAGUUGGGAACAUCUUUGUGUGACGAAAAUGAAGCAUAACCUAACUAUAUGAUUUUGUAGGGAUGAACUUUCUUUUGCCAUGCUAUUUUGAGAAGACAUGAUUGCUUUUAUUAGUAUGCUUGAAGUAUUAUUAUUUUUGUGUCAAUAUGAACUUUUGUCUUGAAUCUUUCGGAUCUGAAUAUACAUAUCACAAGUAAGAAGAAUUACAUUGAAAUUAUGCCAAAGUAUCACUCCGCAACAAAAAUUAUUUUUAUCAUUUACCUACUCGAGGUCGAGCAGGUAUUAAGCUUGGGGAUGCUUGAUACGUCUCCAACAUAUCUAUAAUUUUUUAUUGCUCCAUGCUACUUUAUCUACUAUUUUGGGCAACAUUGGGCUUUAUUUUCCACAUUUAUAUUAUUUUUGGGACUAACCUAUUAACCGGAGGCCCAGCCCAGAUUUGCUGUUUUAUGCCUAUUUCAGUGUUUCGAGGAACACUACAAGAAAUGUGUUAAUCCAUGACGGAUACAAACUGUCACAUAUGUGCGCAAAACCGUCAAGGUAGGUCGUCUGUGACGGACCUGGAAUCCGUCAUGUAUAUCGCGUCAUAAUUUAACCACCAUGCACUCCAUGACGGAUCGUCUGUACCGUCAUGGAUCCUUGACGGUUCUUGACCGUCACAAUUUACUGUCAAGUAACGGCGUUAAUCAUGUACUCCACAUCAUCAUCUGACAUGGCUCCCAACAUGGAUCUCACAUGGCGGCCCAUGUGGUAGUCGGCCCAAUUAGGAUUUUGGCCCACCAAAUUUCAUCUCGUCAAGACCAUCGGCCCAUGUUUCGAUCAGCCUUGUAAGAAUUUUAGCCCAUUAAAUUUCAGAUCAAUCAAAGUCCCACUAAUUGCAAUUGAGAGAUAGCCCAUGACUUCGUUUCUUUUGGUCCAUGGAAAAUUAAGUCAAUAAAAAAAUUCUGAUUAAAUAUGCUCAUUGCCUUAUAGAAAAAAGGAGUUUGCACAUAUAUAUAUAUAUAUAUAUAUAUAUAUACCAUAUACAUAACUUUAUCAAAAAAUGAAGAAAUACACAGCAAAAAUGUAAGUACAGAUAAUUUUUUUUCAGAUCUGGCCUACUACUCUGAGCUAUACUAUUCUGCAUCCACCACAUCAAGCGCCACCGAGCGCUCGCGAGACAUCAAUCAGACUUCAUCGCCAUGGCUUUUCCCUGGCCACUGAUCUGGCAAACUUCUUUAAAAUAAAAUUAAAAUAAAGACAACACCGAAGACGCCCUUGUCGAGGCGUUCGCUGCUGCUGCUCAUGUUGGAGGCUCCGACGUGGGGGGGGUCACAUCCAGGCGAGGAGGAGGCCAGCCAUCGGUAGCGCUGGAUCCCGUGACGAAGAUGACGACAUCGGAGAGGCCGACGAACCAGGCAAGGCAGGGAGGUCGGGAAUGGGCCGUCGGCAUCCGGAUCCAUCCGGAUCAGGCCGGAUCCCGACGAAUUUGAAGGAGAAUGGCGGGUGGAAGGUGUCCUCGGGUGACGCCAUGGGCGCUCGGCCUCCAUUGUUGCAAGGAGAGGCAGAGAGAGAGAUGAGAUAGGAGAGCAACCGAAAGAGAGGCAGCACGAGGCGGGGCUCACCGGCGUGCUGCGGUGGGAGGCGCGGGCGACGGCACGUCACGCAACCGGCAACGGAGAGCCUAGAAGGUACUCGAGUGCGUCUGCUGCUGGUAUGGUGCUCGUGUUCGUGUGAGAGGAUAAGGUACCAACGAAAGCACAAAUAGAUAGUAGAAGAAGUAGGGACCGUUGGAUCGAGUAAGAAUGAACGGUGGAGAGGCUUGAUCCGUGGGAGGCCUGGUUCGACCAAUCAAAACGCAGCAGGCUAAAAAAAAUUGUCCGGC